rnacentral:ribozyme from 14 species
AGACAUCAUCGGAACUAAAAAAAAAAAGAAAAAAAGACCUCCACAGACAAACCAACGAGUAGGACCGCGGAAAAAAAGCUUCUGCCGUUGCUAUUCCUGCCUUUGCCUCCUCGACUUUGGUUGGGUUGUUUCUCUGCACCUGUUCCCUGUUCUCGUCUCUGGAAGAAAAGCAAAACGAAGAAGAAGAAGAAGCAAAAGACAAAAAAAGAGAAGAG